CUUCUCUGGGCCAUUGGAGCAGCCUUUUCUUGACUUUGCCUCUGUGACAUUGAAUCAGGCCCCUCUCCAAUCAUUUCUCCAUUAAGCGGCUAAAGGAAUCCUUCCCAAAGGUAGAUCUGAUCAUGCCACUCCUUGAAAGUCCUUUACUGACUUUCUAUUGCUCUCAAUCUCCCCCAGGAUGUUGGGCUCUGCAUGUGGUGUCCCUGCCAUCAACACCAGCUCUCACCCUGUCCUCUUGUUCUCUGUGGUCCAGUUACACCGUGUUUCCUUAAGGUCUUAAGAAUCCCACCCUCUCUCCUACCUGCAGGCAGUGCCACCUGCUGUUCCUUCUUCCUAGAAUAGUCCUGCCCACCCCCGACACGGCACCCUUGGUGGCUGACCUUAAUAUGUUCUCAGAUUGAACGACACUUCCUCUAGAAGUCUUCCCUCACAUCUUCCCCGCCACCACCCUCCUGCCAGUCUGGCUUAGGAGGCCUGAGGUCACCGCCAUCGUCUAGUGCACAGCAGAAAGUAGGCAACUACUUGAUUACUUUUUAACAAAUGGAGGCACCCUUAGCAUUGGCUUCUAUUAAAUUAAGAGAGCCACAUCGUACCUCUGAACCCUCUGUCCCUUUGGUAUUCAGCUUAAUGAACACUAAAAACAUAUUUCAAACAGCAACUGCUGCUAACAGAGAGGAAAUCCCUGCCUUAUCAGAGUACCUGGAUUCAGCAGCUACUCAGUUCCUGCCUAACUCUAAAAUUAGAAAGUCAUCUAUUUCCAUUCCCUCCCAUAAGCACCUGUACGUUUAUUCAGGCAGCAACAUUUACUGUAAAAAGCAGGUGUCCAGAAUAGAAUGUCUUGACUAUAUCAUUUUCCCUCCUUUCCAUUGUUACCACUCAGUGGUCUGUAGAAACGCGUCCCUUUUUCACAUCCAUGUGCCUACUUACAACUGCCCGCUGUACGUGUAACCCAUGUACAAAUCUGGGACCAAUCUUCAAGAAGUUCAUCUUAGAACUCGCAACUCCCUAGGAGGAUCUCCCUGCCUGGAUUUCUAUAGCUAACGGAAAUCCAGCCAUACUUAUCACUCGAGGCCCUGAGAUGUUUACGGUACUAUAAAUUUUAGGCACAGUUUCAAGUUCUCUGCAGCAGAAGGCAGGCUUUUCUGUGCAUUGCGUACUGUAGAUUCUGUUCUUAAUUUAACACACUCUGCACACUGUGAUUAUGAUAGUGGUAAAUUCACCGAGGCCAGGGCCAAGCAGAGCUGCAGAUAGAUAUGAAAGGUUCUCUGGCAUCUCCGUACAGAUUUGCUAGGGUGCUGGCCCCGAUGAUGAUAGUGGUGGUGGUGGUAAGGUGAGUUCCUUUGACUCCGACCUCAUGUCUCUGGCAGGAGUCGUAAUGAAUAAUAAGCCUGGGCUUAUGAUUAGAUAGAGCACCAGAGCAGGGAGCAGUUAAAGGGGGGAGCUGUCUUGCUUUAAGAAGCACAGCGACUUUUUUCCCAAAAUAGGACUCCUAUAUUCCCUUUUGCAGAGAACUGGUGGGGGCUUUUUGUUGUUUGUUUUUUAAGAAAGUGAAAGAGAAGAUUCCAGGAAGCAGAGCUUAGUCAUUCAAUCUAAAAGGGCAAUCAGCAGCAGAUUUUAAGGUGGUAGGGUGCUGUCAAGACCAGAGGGAAAGGCUGGCAGGGACCUUCGACGCCUCUGAUACCUGGCCUGGAGGAGUGUGCAGGUUACCCCCAGUGUGGGCACAUUCGCCCUGCCCUGCGGAGAAUGUUAACAAGCUACCUGCUGUUUCCCCUUCUGCCUCUAUGCAGGGCAGCCUCCGAAUCCUAAACUGCACGGGGGCUCACUCUGAAGACAGAAAGUAGCUGCUAAAUUAGAGAAGCCAGAGGGCACAAGGCUGUGUUUGGUUUUUCUAGGAAAGGGUGUGAAACAGGAGUGUCUGACUCGUUCCAGGGAUGGGGAGGCUCACUGGGUUUCAGGAAGUCAACCCCACAGGCUCUGCUCUGCUCCCACCCACGCUUGACAGGAGGGGUCGAGGGUGAAGGUAGAUGGACAGCAGUGCUGACCUGCACGCAGUGGACCGUCCACAAAUAAAGUCCAGAAAUGUCUGCAGAUGUUGGGGUUGGGGGGGAGGGUUCAUCGGUGGACUGGAACAAGUGACAGCCUGAUGCAAAUAGCUUUUGCAGGGCCGUGAGGCUGAGGCUGCUUGUUCCCAGUCACACAGCCUGCAGGACAACCCUCAUUUCAUAAGAGCAGGUUUCCAAUGCAUGAUCUAGCCCCACCCCUUCUUCACAAGCAGCUGUACUUGGAAGCAAAUGAUUUAGUGUUCCUGGGAGAGGAUUGUACAAAGAGAGUACUCAUCAGAGGGGCUCAAUCUGUCAGGUGCUGUUAUAUUAGGAUCAGAGAGUCAUCACAAAAUGACUUUCAUGCUGGUCUUGGCUGAUAAUGAACUGCAAGGCAUCGCCUGCACAGUGUGGAGAGGCACGGGCGCUGAUUUAUGCAUCGGUUUAAUUAUCUGAACGGAAAGACUCUGCUCCCUGUAUUUGCAUCCUCUGCCUGCCUGCUUUAUCUCUCCCCCAUAUUUCUGACAUUUGGAUUUUCCCCUACUAAUUGACAUGCCUGUCGCCUCCUUCUCCUGGUGUCCAUUUCUGGAACUGCUAUUUGUAUACUGCAUGAUAUUUUAUCAGGAAAAAAAAUAAAACUGAGAUCCAAUUUCAUGAAAAUGCUGUUGCCAUAAUGCUCAGGAGAACAGGGGGAAGAGAGAGAUUCAAGUCUUCCUAAUGUCUACCCUAUAUGCAGAACCACUGGCAUAUCCUGUAAGGCCUUCUGCUAUGUAAGAGCGCUCUGUUUCCCGAGUAUGUGGAAAUACUGUUGCCUGAACCGAGGGAACCCAGAUGCUAGAACUAAAACAAUUAGGGAAAGAAGAUGAAGGAAAAAACUCCACUUUGCCGGCUCAACUGAACCUUCUGUACAACAUUGGAAAGAUGAGCCGACCCAACUGCACAUUUGGCUCUGUCGCUGGCUGGAAAGUUACAAGUCAGUCCACCUCUCUGUGAUUCAGUUUCUACACCUACUGCUAUUUAUCCCAUGAGAAACUUCUGAAAUUAAAAAAG